rnacentral:rRNA from 1 species
UCGGGAAUUUUGGGCAAUGGGCGAAAGCCUGACCCAGCAACGCCGCGUGAAGGAUGAAGUAUUUCGGUAUGUAAACUUCGAAAGAAUAGGAAGAAUAAAUGACGGUACUAUUUAUAAGGUCCGGCUAACUACGUGCCAGCAGCCGCGGUAAUACGUAGGGACCAAGCGUUGUUCGGAUUUACUGGGCGUAAAGGGCGCGUAGGCGGCAAUUCAAGUCAUCUGUGAAAUCUCCGGGCUUAACUCGGAACGGUCAGAUGAUACUGCUUUGCUAGAGUGCAGAAGGGGCAAUCGGAAUUCUUGGUGUAGCGGUGAAAUGCGUAGAUAUCAAGAGGAACACCUGAGGUGAAGACGGGUUGCUGGGCUGAUACUGACGCUGAGGCGCGAAAAGCCUAGGGGUAG